rnacentral:misc_RNA from 1 species
UUGUCAUGUUUGUUUUCAGAAGUGAUAAGUGCGAAGUGCCAUAAUGGGGUUUAAUCAAACAGAUAACCCUUUUCUAGUCUCUACACUGACACCUCUACUCAUGGGGGUUUCAUAUGUUGCAAGUUUAUAUGUGUGGCCCACAAAACAUGAACGAGACCAUCCUGACACGAUAAAACGAAGAUUUGUUAGUGCUGCUUUUAUGACAGUUAUUUCGCCGUUGUUUGUUACUACAUUCGGAGCACCACACUUACUACAACAAAAUUCGUUAUGUGAGAUACUGGGACUAAGAUUACCAGGACUGAUUCCUGCUUCUAUCUUUCCUGUUCUGCUAACAGUUAUUCUCUUCCUGGGACCUACAGUUAUGCUGUUCACAGAUCCUCGUGUGAGGGUGUAUUGGCUGCCUAUGUACUGGAAACAGAGUCUUAAGGAUUGGAUUUGGUGGAGAAAUCAUGUUGUUGCUCCCUUCAGUGAGGAGUUUACAUUUCGCGCCUGUAUGGUUCCUAUCCUUCUUGGAUACUACACCAAGAAGCAGACAAUGUUGAUCAGUCCACUAUUCUUUGGUGUGGCACAUUUUCAUCAUAUGGUAGAGAGAAUUAGAAAAGGACAACCAAUCCUCACCUCGUUCCUUUUCUCUAUGUUCCAGUUUACCUACACAACAAUAUUUGGAACAUAUUCUGCGUUCCUGUUCCUUUCCACAGGACACUUUGCUACACCGUUUCUGGUACAUGCGUACUGCAACUUCAUGGGGUUCCCCGAUAUAGCAGAGGUCCUUAGUUUUGAACCAAAGAAACGAUUGUUUGUCUCUCUGAUGUUUAUUCUCGGAGCAAUUCUAUUUUAUUUCGUCCUCACUCCUGUAACCAGCGCAAACAUCUACCUCAACUUCAUCUACGCUGACUUGCCCUAAAUCUGUCUUGGGCUGGACAAAGCGCUUAUUAGUUCAUUUUUUCACUAGUCCUUUCUACACUGUACCGGCACAAUUAUUUAAUCAAGAUUAACCCAUGGGUAAUUGUGAAAUGCAAAAACUCAAAUCACUUAAAAAAAUUUCAUUGUUUUCAAAUAUGAUGAAUCUCUGUAAGGAAAAGUUGAUGACAAAUCCCCUUAAAUUAUAACAAAGCGUGUGAUGCAAUAUAUAUAUAUACCUGACCUACUUUAAAGAAUAUUGCUUUAUUCAAUUGGAUUCAAGACUUCUAAGUUUAUGCUUUAUAACAUGACCUUCAUUUUCAAACAUUUCAUGACUACCAUGUUUUUGGGCCACUUGAACGUAAUGUUUUCAUGUCUUUGUAAAUUGUCUAUGUAUCGCGCAACAUAAACCGAUUCAAAAAUGGUAAAAUUAAAAUUAUUCAGAAAUUAUCAUGUUUAUUGGGAUACGGUGUGUAUAUAAGACAUUCAGAACGUGAUAAAGAAUUAUUUAUGUUUAAAUGAUUUAUGAGAUAUUCUCUUAAACUUGAAUCUAGUCGUACUGAAUUUAAAAUAUAAAAAUAUCUUUUUUAACAAUGUAACGCGAUGAUUAAAUUUGUGGCAUUGUUUGUGCACAAAAUAAGAUAUAUGUUUGAAGAUUGGGAUGUUACAAAAGAAAAAAAUGGGACUGAAUCUGAGUCAAAUUUGGGAUUCGAUCGCUACUAAGUUUGCCUUUAUCUAUAGAGAUUAUAGGAGGAAAACGCUUACUGUUAAGAGCGGAAAGUCUAUGUGAAUUCACUUGUAUCAUAACCCUCACUUAGUUUGCCGCUUAUUAAUCAUAUUUUUUUAUCCAAGAAUUUCCUAAAUAUCUUUUUAAACAAUCCCCCCCCCCUAAAAACGCUACAGAUAGAAGUAAAAUAAUUAGCGCUCAAUCCCGAAUUUGACAAGGAUUCGGCCUUUUCCCCCUUUUCAUUUUUCGCAAACCUUCCCUUUAAAUCAUAAUUCUGAAGUUAUAUAAUCUUUCCUUGUCUGGGUCCCAGUGAUAUAUUCUUAUUCGCCAUUUAAGUGAAUUCACAGAGUAAUUUUGUUAUUUAUGAACCCAGAAAUUCAUUCAAAAAGUAGA